rnacentral:lncRNA from 1 species
AAUCCAGACAUUGAGUGUAAUUCAUUUUGGUGUCUUUACAUUUCAAGCUCAUUUAUCCAGGUCAGGAACCAUUUAUUUUGCAUCUAAUAAGUCGAGGCCUGUGCAGCAUCCUUCUAACAUAUGGCCUGUUCACGUCCUGCCUCUGAGCAUCUGUCACAGCCAUGUUUUGGGAGGAGGCUGACUCGGCCAGUUUCGCAUCGUCAGCUGGCGGGGGCAAUCCCACUGUGCAGCUGCUUGAGGAGGGGCACAUGGCCUGGCCCAGUCCCCUUGGCUUCCCCGGCCCCCCAAAACCUGCUUUUUAGAGAAAGAAAGGGGGGCACCUGGCAGGCCACUUGUGAGUCACUCAUCUCCUGGGAAAUGUUCCAGGCGCCACUUGGAGGAGAUCACUCUGGAAAGCUCCCUGAUGCCCAGCAACCCCAUCACCAUGGCAACCUAUCCAUCCUGAGCUGCUCUUCCUUUGGGCCUCCAGAAAGGAGGCUGACUGAGGUGAUGCAAGUUUCUCUGAGGCACAGCCACCUUGCACCUUAUAUGAACACAGACUCAGCCUACUCACCAGCUUUCUGAGACCACAAACAACGAAAGCUGGCUGCAUAGGAAGGAGAGAGGCCCCAAGGAGGGGCUCUGUGGUGCGACCCUGCUGGACUUCUCCAUCCCAGUUUCCUUGCUGGGGUCAACUUGCCUGUGCACGAAGAUUGCAUCUGGUAGUAUUUUUGGACUUAAGUUGCUCUACGAGGGCAUAAAUAAAAGCAAUAGUAAAAAAG